CGGAUCAGUGAUGACCACUGGAGUCGUAUGAGUCAUGGAUGAUGACUACGCUCAAUGUCUGAGGUCCAA
ensembl:snoRNA